UAGAAUAGGGAAAGGGGGAAAAUUGAAGACGGAAACCCAACAGUCACUGUAGGUUCGACGCCGGAAGUAAUCCCUGUUGAUGUUGAAGAACCAAGAUAUGAGAGGGUAGAGUUUGGAUAAAUUUCACCUUCAACAUUCACAAGUCUCACGAAUGCCAUGUAAUUUAUUCUAAUAGAAGACAUAUUCAACUCUACCAUGCUAUUCAUGGCCAUCCACACAAAGAUAAGAAACCACCUCCAUUCUCUUGAACCAUAAUAAACAAUAUUGAGCUGAAACUUUCUUGACAUUUCUAUUUCACAGCAGGUUGAGCUAAUAACCACUACUUGAGAUCAAGAAAUGGCCAGUCUAUUUCUAACUCAACAUAGCUUGUAGGAACAUUCAGCUUCAACAAUUGCAUUAAUCUCACUACUUGGUUCAAGCAAUAAUAACUCAGGUGAUUUUGGAGGGAACCUUUCUACCCUUCCAAGCUCAACAUCAACAUCAACAUCAAUCAUUUGAAGAGGUUCUUGGAAUUUAGCCAACGCAAGAGCUUUCUCUACCUCAUGACCUUCAAUUUCAGCAUAUGAGUGAUUAAGAUCUUCACCAGAUCUGACACCUGCACGACCCACACCUAUAUCACUAAAUUCAUUAUUAGAGACUGUGAAGACUGCGGUGUGCUUGGCUGAUUUGUUGUGCUUUGUGCUGCUUGUAAUUUUGGUUCCUCAUUGUGCUGCCCUUCACUCCGAUGACCUAUAUUAUUCUGACCCACUGUCUCCCCUGACCCUUUCUCCUCAUCUCGUAGAGUCUCAUAAGAAUUCUUUGUAUUAAUGCUAUUAUUUUUAGGGGAUGCCUCUGUAGUUGUAUCACUUAUAAACUUGCAUGUGUUCUUCUCCAUUGUGAACCUCCUGUUAGUAGGGUGCCAUAUUUGAGUAUUCAUCCUCCCUCUUGUAUUUUCA